AUCCAGAUGAUGAGUCCCGAAUAGGAUGAAAUACGCAUCCUGGAU
rfam:Trichobilharzia regenti genome assembly, scaffold: TRE_scaffold0007482